GACGAACGCUGGCGGCGUGCUUAACACAUGCAAGUCGAACGCUGAAGCUCAGCUUUUGUUGGGUGGAUGAGUGGCGAACGGGUGAGUAACACGUGAGUAACCUGCCCCCUUCUUUGGGAUAACGCCCGGAAACGGGUGCUAAUACUGGAUAUUCACUGGUCUUCGCAUGGGGGUUGGUGGAAAGGGUUUUUCUGGUGGGGGAUGGGCUCGCGGCCUAUCAGCUUGUUGGUGGGGUGAUGGCCUACCAAGGCUUUGACGGGUAGCCGGCCUGAGAGGGUGACCGGUCACAUUGGGACUGAGAUACGGCCCAGACUCCUACGGGAGGCAGCAGUGGGGAAUAUUGCACAAUGGGCGCAAGCCUGAUGCAGCGACGCCGCGUGAGGGAUGGAGGCCUGCGGGUUGUGAACCUCUUUCGCUCAUGGUCAAGCCGCAACAAUGGUUGUGGUGAGGGUAGUGGGUAAAGAAGCGCCGGCUAACUACGUG
rnacentral:rRNA from 1 species